UACGAAGGGGGCGAGCGUUGUUCGGAGUUACUGGGCGUAAAGGGCGCGUAGGCGGCCGAUCAAGUUAGGCGUGAAAGCCCCGGGCUUAACCUGGGAAUUGCGCUUAAGACUGACUGGCUUGAGUGCGGGAGAGGUGAGUGGAAUUCCCAGUGUAGAGGUGAAAUUCGUAGAUAUUGGGAAGAACACCAGUGGCGAAGGCGGCUCACUGGCCCGCAACUGACGCUGAGGCGCGAAAGCGUGGGGAGCAAACAGG
rnacentral:rRNA from 1 species